rnacentral:rRNA from 1 species
AGUGAACGCUGGCGGUAGGCCUAACACAUGCAAGUCGAACGGCAGCACAGUAAGAGCUUGCUCUUACGGGUGGCGAGUGGCGGACGGGUGAGGAAUACAUCGGAAUCUACUUUUUCGUGGGGGAUAACGUAGGGAAACUUACGCUAAUACCGCAUACGACCUACGGGUGAAAGCAGUGGAGCUUCGGACCUUUCGCGAUUGAAUGAGCCGAUGUCGGAUUAGCUAGUUGGCGGGGUAAAGGCCCACCAAGGCGACGAUCCGUAGCUGGUCUGAGAGGAUGAUCAGCCACACUGGAACUGAGACACGGUCCAGACUCCUACGGGAGGCAGCAGUGGGGAAUAUUGGACAAUGGGCGCAAGCCUGAUCCAGCCAUACCGCGUGGGUGAAGAAGGCCUUCGGGUUGUAAAGCCCUUUUGUUGGGAAAGAAAAGCAGCAGGUUAAUACCCCGCUGUUCUGACGGUACCCAAAGAAUAAGCACCGGCUAACUUCGUG